rnacentral:rRNA from 1 species
GACGAACCGCCCGAACGUUGUUCGGAAUCACUGGGCUUAAAGGGCGCGUAGGCGGGUCGGCAAGUCAGGGGUGAAAGCCCCCAGCUUAACUGGGGAAGUGCCUUUGAUACUGCCGGCCUUGAGGGAGGUAGGGGCGUGCGGAACUUCCGGUGGAGCGGUGAAAUGCGUAGAUAUCGGAAGGAACACCGGUGGCGAAAGCGGCGCGCUGGACCUCUUCUGACGCUGAGGCGCGAAAGCCAGGGGAGCAAACGGG